CCGAUGUGGGGAUGCAGGGGGGAAUAGGGGACAAUGGGCGAAAGCCUGAUCCAGCCAGGCCGCGUGUGUGAAGAAGGCCUUCGGGUUGUAAAGCACUUUCAGUGGGGAAGAAAGCCUUGGGGCUAAUACCCUCGAGGAAGGACAUCACCCACAGAAGAAGCACCGGCUAACUCCGUGCCAGCAGCCGCGGUAAUACGGAGGGUGCGAGCGUUAAUCGGAAUUACUGGGCGUAAAGCGCGCGUAGGCGGUCUGAUAAGCCGGUUGUGAAAGCCCCGGGCUCAACCUGGGAACGGCAUCCGGAACUGUCAGGCUAGAGUGUAGGAGAGGAAGGUAGAAUUCCGGGUGUAGGGGGGAAAUGCGUAGAGAUCGGGAGGAAUACCGGUGGCGAGGGCGGCCUUCUGGACUGACACUGACGCUGAGGUGCGAAAGCGUGGGUAGAAAACAGGAUUAGAUACCCGAGUAGUC
rnacentral:rRNA from 1 species